UACGGAGGGUGCAAGCGUUACCCGGAAUCACUGGGCGUAAAGGGCCUGUAGGCGGAUCAUCAAGUCUGGCUUUAAAGCCUGGGGCUCAACCCCAGAUCUGGAUUGGAGACUGGUAAUCUGGAUUCGUGGAGAGGCAACUGGAAUUCCUGGUGUAGCGGUGGAAUGCGUAGAUACCAGGAGGAACACCCAUGGCGAAGGCAGGUUGCUGGACACUGAAUGACUCUGAGGCGCGAAAGUGUGGGGAGCGAACGGG
rnacentral:rRNA from 1 species